rnacentral:rRNA from 1 species
AGAGUUUGAUCAUGGCUCAGAAUCAACGCUGGCGGCGCGCCUAACACAUGCAAGUCGAACGAGAAAGGGGAGCAAUCCCUGAGUACAGUGGCGUACGGGUGAGUAACACGUGGGUAAUCUACCUUUUAGUGUGGAAUAACGUUGGGAAACCGGCGCUAAUACCGCAUAAGCUCGAGAGAGGAAAGCAGCAAUGCGCUGAAAGAGGAGCCCGCGGCCGAUUAGCUAGUUGGUGAGGUAAUGGCCCACCAAGGCAACGAUCGGUAGCCGGCCUGAGAGGGCACACGGCCACACUGGCACUGAAACACGGGCCAGACUCCUACGGGAGGCAGCAGUGGGGAAUCUUGCACAAUGGGGGAAACCCUGAUGCAGCGACGCCGCGUGAGCGAUGAAGGCCUUCGGGUCGUAAAGCUCUUUCGGCAGGGAAGAUUAUGACGGUACCUGCAGAAGCAGCUGCGGCUAACUACGUGCCAGCAGCCGCGGUAAUACGUAGGCAGCAAGCGUUGUUCGGAGUUACUGGGCGUAAAGGGUGUGUAGGCGGUUCUUUAAGUUUGGUGUGAAAUCUCCCGGCUCAACCGGGAGGGUGCGCCGAAUACUGAGGGGCUAGAGUGUGGGAGAGGAAAGUGGAAUUCCUGGUGUAGCGGUGAAAUGCGUAGAUAUCAGGAGGAACACCGGUGGUGUAAACGGCUUUCUGGACCAUAACUGACGCUGAGACACGAAAGCGUGGGUAGCAAACAGGAUUAGAUACCCUGGUAGUCCACGCCCUAAACGAUGCAUAUUUGGUGUGGGUCAUUCAGUUGAUCCGUGCC